rnacentral:rRNA from 1 species
GAUGAACGCUGGCGGCGUGCCUAAUACAUGCAAGUCGAGCGAACGGACGAGAAGCUUGCUUCUCUGAUGUUAGCGGCGGACGGGUGAGUAACACGUGGAUAACCUACCUAUAAGACUGGGAUAACUUCGGGAAACCGUAGCUAAUACCGGAUAAUAUUUUGAACCGCAUGGUUCAAAAGUGAAAGACGGUCUUGCUGUCACUUAUAGAUGGAUCCGCGCUGCAUUAGCUAGUUGGUAAGGUAACGGCUUACCAAGGCAACGAUGCAUAGCCGACCUGAGAGGGUGAUCGGCCACACUGGAACUGAGACACGGUCCAGACUCCUACGGGAGGCAGCAGUAGGGAAUCUUCCGCAAAGGGCGAAAGCCUGACGGAGCAACGCCGCGUGAGUGAUGAAGGUCUUCGGAUCGUAAAACUCUGUUAUUAGGGAAGAACAUAUGUGUAAGUAACUGUGCACAUCUUGACGGUACCUAAUCAGAAAACCACGGCUAACUACGUG